rnacentral:rRNA from 1 species
GCACAAGCGGUGGAGCAUGUGGUUUAAUUCGACGCAACGCGAAGAACCUUACCUGGGCUCGAAAUGUAGUGGACCGGAGUAGAAAUAUUCCUUCCCCGCAAGGGGCUGCUAUAUAGGUGCUGCAUGGCUGUCGUCAGCUCGUGUCGUGAGAUGUUGGGUUAAGUCCCGCAACGAGCGCAACCCUUAUCCCCAGUUGCCAUCAUUAAGUUGGGCACUCUGGUGAAACCGCCUCGGAUAACGGGGAGGAAGGUGGGGAUGACGUCAAGUCCUCAUGGCCUUUAUGUCCAGGGCUACACACGUGCUACAAUGGUCGGUACAAACCGUCGCAAACCCGUGAGGGGGAGCUAAUCGGAAAAAGUCGACCUCAGUUCGGAUUGUAGUCUGCAACUCGACUACAUGAAGCUGGAAUCGCUAGUAAUCGCGGAUCAGAAUGCCGCGGUGAAUACGUUCCCGGGC